rnacentral:rRNA from 1 species
ACGGAGGGUGCAAGCGUUAAUCGGAAUUACUGGGCGUAAAGCGCACGCAGGCGGUUUGUUAAGUCAGAUGUGAAAUCCCCGGGCUCAACCUGGGAACUGCAUCUGAUACUGGCAAGCUUGAGUCUCGUAGAGGGGGGUAGAAUUCCGGGUGGAGCGGGGAAAUGCGUAGAUAUCUGGAUGAGGGCCAGUGGCGAAGGCGACAAACUGGACUAGAAUUGACGGUCAGGUGCGUAAGCGUCUGGAGCAAACAG